UUCCCCAAUCUCUCUCUUUCAGUUUCGAUGCCGAUGAAUUUCACUACCUUCUCCACACCGUUUUUUGUCGCUGCUCGCUAAAGCUCGUCAGCGUCGUCGCCGCCGCUUCUACCUCUUCUUCUCGUCGCCGUUAGUUCAGGGUUUUAUUACAGUGACAGAUAUGGCAAGCUUUCUGUGAACGAACUCCCUUCAUUCUUCUCUUCUUUGUUUCUUCCCUAUGACUGUUGAUUUGGUUGUAGCUUCUCCUGUGGAGGAUUACUUUUUAUACAUUGAUGAUCUGAAAAAUCCUG